UUUAAAAAAUUUUGAAUUAGCUGUAUGUGGUAGUAUAUGGAAACUGAAGCUCGGUAUUCGGGCUACGGCAGUCGGAUGUGCCACAGGAGGAACAUUAGGGCUCAUCUGUGGUUGUACGACCGCUGCUCUCCUGUGGGCCGCCGGGACGUCAGUCGAAGAAUUGAGAUACUGGCAUCACGAAUAUUGGGAAAAGGAAUACAUGAGGAGAAUCAAGUCACUCCAAGAGAAAAAACCGGAUGGACUUGCUGAGUGAGAAUCCAGUAGUGAUGAAGGAAAAGAAAAUCAUCAUCCGUAGCAAAAUUUAUUUCUGUAAAAUAUAUAGAAAUACAGGAAUAAAGUGCCAACCCUGCGGUCACGGUAUUGUGGAGAGCGAAACACCAUCUGCUGGCGAGACAACGAGAGCGGGACGAGACGUGACUUCGCGAGAGGAGACGACGGUUGAAGAAGACGCGCAAAAAGACGAAAGACGAGAAAGAAGUCCUACAUUUGUUCUUUUUAUAAUACUCACAAUAUAUUUUUAUGUAAUUUGUAUUCCUUCAAACGUUCCUGUUAUCCACAUCUUUCUUGUUUCAAUUAAAGUUUUUCAAAAGACAAAGAAAAGUCUGACAGUAUUAAUUGAAAUUUGUACGCGCCUCCUUUGGGAAAUUGUCUGUCAAGGCAUUAAACCUAAGACUGGUGCCUUUGUCUUUGUUCUAUUUUAAUACUUUGUAACAGCAAAGAACGUGCUGCCGUGAUCUUAAAUUCUGCAUCCUCUUUGUUCACAACUGAAUGUAACAUCUCAUUGUCGGGAUUAGUUUCAUGUUAUUUUCGAUUUUAUACUUGUAACUCCAAGUUAUAUCCUUUGCUUUACACCCAAAAGGGUGCUGCUGUAAAAUAUCUCUUGUUGCACCAUUUGCAGUUAUCUUAUGUAUUACCCUCAGUACGGGUAUUUUGUCACACUGUUAAUGUAUUUUGUUAAAUAAUGUACUGAUGCUGACGUCCAUGAGACUUCCAGUUUUAUUCCCUUUCCUAUUUAACUUUACUUUUUCCCUUUGCCUCUUCUCUUAAUUCUUUUCCACUUAAUCCAUUUCAAACCAGGCAAUACCUACAAGUGGCCCUGGUCUUCAUCCCCUUUAAGUUAGAAUGUAUCUAGAAUGUAUCCAUUGUCACACACAUCAUGGAUGGUACUCACAUCAUGCCCGACAACUGUGCACGUCAACAAACUGAGCUUGUGCAGCUCCAGUAUAUGGUCUCGUUAACAAAAAAUAGUUAAUGAAUGGUAAACUACUGUCUUCAAGAUUUAAUUACAUUUACAAACAUACUUGGUCCAAAGUAUUAUAUACCAAAGAAUGUAAUCGAGUAACAAGAGGAUACUUUCCUACAGAAUCUUGUAACUCAAUCAGGGAUUACUUUGACAUAAUUUAUUGUUCCAAGCAGCAAAUACUAAAAUCUGCAUUUUAAAUUUUCGUCGACUUUUGUAAACUGGAAUUUGUCCUUAUCUCAAAUUAUUAUAAAAUUGAAAUAAAAUUAAUGAUAAAAUAUUCCAAAGCAAUCAGUGGAUCAAGAAAUACUUCAUUUUAUUUUUAUGACUUAUAAAAUGUGAUCUUAAUCAUUAAACUGUACAAAGUAUGAAAAUUUGAUCUACAAAAAGAUUAUUUUUAUAGAAAAGAUUUGGAUGUGGUAUCUGUUUAUUGUUAUUCAUUUGAUGGAGAUACAAAAUAUCUCAAAAACCACUUAAUCAGAAUGAGCUGCAUUUUGUUAAUUAAAAUAUAGUUUACUUUUUUUUCAUAAUUUCUAAUGAAAAAUAGAAAAAAAAUCAUUUCAAAAUAUUAAUAUUCUGUAACAUAAUAUUAUCAUGUACUUAAUUCCAUAGUAUAAAUAUUUAUAAAUUGGUCUUUCAAAA